rnacentral:rRNA from 1 species
UACGGAGGAUCCGAGCGUUAUCCGGAUUUAUUGGGUUUAAAGGGUGCGUAGGCGGACUAUUAAGUCAGUGGUGAAAGCCUGCAGCUUAACUGCAGAACUGCCAUUGAUACUGAUAGUCUUGAGUUUGGUUAAGGUAGGCGGAAUGUGUAAUGUAGCGGUGAAAUGCUUAGAUAUUACACAGAACACCAAUUGCGUAGGCAGCUUACUGAGCCGACACUGACGCUGAGGCACGAAAGCGUGGGGAUCGAACAGGAUUA